GCCCUCGUGGAUCAGCGGUUAGAUCCUCUUCUAUCUGUGAUCUGAGAGUACAGAAUUUUACGAAGAAAGUGUGAGUUCGAACCUCACCGAGGGCA